rnacentral:rRNA from 2 species
UAAAAGACCUAGCAAUAGGUAUGCUUAGGGAGGAGCUUGCGUCACAUUAGUUAGUUGGUGGGGUAAAGGCCUACCAAGACUAUGAUGUGUAGCCGGGCUGAGAGGUUGAACGGCCACAUUGGGACUGAGACACGGCCCAAACUCCUACGGGAGGCAGCAGUAGGGAAUUUUCGGCAAUGGAGGAAACUCUGACCGAGCAACGCCGCGUGAACGAUGAAGUAUUUCGGUACGUAAAGUUCUUUUAUUAGGGAAGAAUAAAUGAUGGAAAAAUCAUUCUGACGGUACCUAAUGAAUAAGCCCCGGCUAACUAUGUGCCAGCAGCCGCGGUAAUACAUAGGGGGCAAGCGUUAUCCGGAAUUAUUGGGCGUAAAGGGUGCGUAGGCGGUUAAAUAAGUUUAUGGUCUAAGUGCAAUGCUCAACAUUGUGAUGCUAUAAAAACUGUUUAGCUAGAGUAAGAUAGAGGCAAGUGGAAUUCCAUGUGUAGUGGUAAAAUGCGUAAAUAUAUGGAGGAACACCAGUAGCGAAGGCGGCUUGCUGGGUCUUUACUGACGCUGAGGCACGAAAGCGUGGGGAGCAAACAGGAUUAGAUACCCUGGUAGUCCACGCCGUAAACGAUGAGUACUAAACGUUGGGUAAAACCAGUGUUGAAGUUAACACAUUAAGUACUCCGCCUGAGUAGUACGUACGCAAGUAUGAAACUUAAAGGAAUUGACGGGACUCCGCACAAGCGGUGGAUCAUGUUGUUUAAUUCGUAGGUACCCGAAAAACCUCACCAGGUCUUGACAUGCUUCUGCAAAGCUGUAGAAACACAGUGGAGGUUAUCAGUUGCACAGGUGGUGCAUGGUUGUCGUCAGCUCGUGUCGUGAGAUGUUGGGUUAAGUCCCGCAACGAGCGCAACCCUUAUUGUUAGUUACCAGCACGUAAUGGUGGGGACUUUGGCAAGACUGCCAGUGAUAAAUUGGAGGAAGGUGGGGACGACGUCAAAUCAUCAUGCCCCUUAUGACCUGGGCUACAAACGUGAUACAAUGGCUGUUACAAAGGGUAGCUGAAGCGCAAGUUUUUGGCGAAUCUCAAAAAAACAGUCUCAGUUCGGAUUG